GGCGUUAGCUCAAUUGGUAGAGUAGCGGUCUCCAAAACCGUUGGUUGGGGGUUCGAAUCCCUCCCCCUCCGCCA
rnacentral:tRNA from 1 species